GUAUUUUUUCCGACAUUUUGUACGAAAAAUCAAAAACUAUUAUGCAUAAAAAUAAAUUAAAAUCUGUUUUAGAAUGUACAGAUGAAGCCCUUUCAUAUGAUAUCCCACUUAGUAUAUUAAUCUCACUUUGAAAGUUGA